rnacentral:rRNA from 1 species
CGGUGUUUAACUGGCGUGAUGUGGGACGUCCUACCGGUGGGCUUAGCCUCGCGAGGGGCGGCCCAACUAAUAUCCCGUCGCGGUGCUCUUUACUGAGUGUCGAGUCGGGCCGGUACGUUUACUUUGAACAAAUUAGAGUGCUUAAAGCAGGCUAUCCUCGCCUGAAUACUGCGUGCAUGGAAUAAUGGAAUAGGACCUCGGUUCUAUUUUGUUGGUUUUCGGAACCCCGAGGUAAUGAUUAAUAGGGACAGAUGGGGGCAUUCGUAUUGCGACGUUAGAGGUGAAAUUCUUGGAUCGUCGCAAGACGGACAGAAGCGAAAGCAUUUGCCAAAAAUGUUUUCAUUAAUCAAGAACGAAAGUUAGAGGUUCGAAGGCGAUCAGAUACCGCCCUAGUUCUAACCAUAAACGAUGCCAGCUAGCGAUCCGCCGAAGUUCCUCCGAUGACUCGGCGGGCAGCUUCCGGGAAACCAAAGCUUUUGGGUUCCGGGGGGAAGUAUGGUUGCAAAGCUGAAACUUAAAGGAAUUGACGGAAGGGCACCACCAGGAGUGGAGCCUGCGGCUUAAUUUGACUCAACACGGGAAACCUCACCAGGCCCAGACACCGGAAGGAUUGACAGAUUGAUAGCUCUUUCUUGAUUCGGUGGGUGGUGGUGCAUGGCCGUUCUUAGUUGGUGGAGCGAUUUGUCUGGUUAAUUCCGAUAACGAACGAGACUCUAGCCUGCUAAAUAGGCGUACCUUAUGGUAUCGCGAAGGCCCCCGGCUUCGGCCGGUGGGUUUUUACUACCAACGUACAAACAAAUCUUCUUAGAGGGACAGGCGG